rnacentral:rRNA from 1 species
CCCUUAGAUGUUCUGGGCCGCACGCGUGCUACACUGAGUAAUUCAAUGGGUAAGGGAACGCUAGAGCAUUACCUAAUCUUGAAAUUUGCUCGUGAUGGGGAUCGACGGUUGCAAUUUUCCGUCGUGAACGAGGAAUACCUUGUAGGCGCAUGUCAUCAUCAUGCGCCGAAUACGUCCCUGCCCUUUGUACACACCGCCCGUCGCUCCUACCGAUUGAGUGAUCCGGUGAGGCUCUGGGACCUGGAUGGAAAGAGCGUUUCGCUUGUUCUGUUUGGGAAACUUGGUCGAACCUUAUCAUUUAGAGGAAGGAGAAGUCGUAACA